rnacentral:rRNA from 1 species
GACGAACGCUGGCGGCGUGCUUAACACAUGCAAGUCGAACGGAAAGGCCCUGCUUUUGUGGUGUGCUCGAGUGGCGAACGGGUGAGUAACACGUGAGUAACCUGCCCUUGACUUUGGGAUAACUUCAGGAAACUGGGGCUAAUACCGGAUAGGAGCUCCUGCUGCAUGGUGGGGGUUGGAAAGUUUCGGCGGUUGGGGAUGGACUCGCGGCUUAUCAGCUUGUUGGUGGGGUAGUGGCUUACCAAGUCUUUGACGGGUAGCCGGCCUGAGAGGGUGACCGGCCACAUUGGGCCUGAGAUACGGCCAAAAAUACUACGGGCGGUAGCAGUGGGAAAUGGUACACAAGGAGAGGAAGCCUGAUGCAGCAACGCCGCGUGCGGGAUGACGGCCUCCGGGUUGUAAACCGCUUUAGCCUGUGACGACGCGUGAGUGACGGUAAUGGGUAUAGAAGCACCGGUUAACUACGUG